rnacentral:rRNA from 1 species
AGUUGCACGGGUUUAGACCCGUGGCGAAAAGCUCAGUAACACGUGGCCAAGCUACCCUGUGGACCAGAAUAACCUCGGGAAACUGAGGACAAUUCUGGGUAACGCUCCCCUAUUGGAAUAUGGGGAGCUGGAAAUGCGUUAUGCGCCACAGGAUGCGGCUGCGGCCGAUUAGGUUGACGGUGGGGUAACGGCCCACCGUGCCCAUAAUCGGUACGGGUUGUGAGAGCAAGAGCCCGGAGACGGAAUCUGAGACAAGAUUCCGGGCCCUACGGGGCGCAGCAGGCGCGAAACCUUUACACUGCACGACAGUGCGAUAGGGGGACUCCGAGUGCGAGGGCAUAGAGCCCUCGCUUUUGUGUACCUUAAGGUGGUACAAGAAUAAGGGCUGGGCAAGACCGGUGCCAGCCGCCGCGGUAAUACCGGCAGCCCAAGUGAUGGCCGAUAUUAUUGGGCCUAAAGCGUUCGUAGCUGGCCAGACAAGUCCGUUGGGAAAUCCGCAUGCUUAACGUGCGGGCGUCCAGCGGAAACUGUCCGGCUUGGGACCGGAAGACCCGAGGGGUACGUCCAGGGUAGGAGUGAAAUCCCGUAAUCUUGGACGGACCACCUGUGGCGAAAGCGCCUCGGGAAGACGGAUCCGACAGUGAGGAACGAAAGCCAGGGUCUCGAACCGGAUUAGAUACCCGGGUAGUCCUGGCUGUAAACGAUGUCCGCUAGGUGUGACGCAGGCUACGAGCCUGCGUUGUGCCGUAG